UACGAGGGGGGCAAAUGUUGUUCGGAAUUACUGGGCGUAAAGCGCGUGUAGGCUGCUUGGAAAGUCGGAUGUGAAAGCCCUGGGCUCAACCCAGGAAGUGCAUUCGAAACUUCUGAGCUUGAGUUUCGGAGAGGAAAGCGGAAUUCUCGGUGUAGAGGUGAAAUUCGUAGAUAUCGAGAGGAACACCGGUGGCGAAGGCGGCUUUCUGGACGAAAACUGACGCUGAGACGCGAAAGCGUGGGGAGCAAACAGG
rnacentral:rRNA from 1 species